CGGCAGGUGAAGGCAGGCAGGUCCUGUGCGGUGCCCGGGGUGGGAAGCAGGUAACCAGUGGCCUGCAGCAGCUCGCGGCCUCAGCCAGCCCUGGGCGCCAGGAGCUCAGUCAGCACUGCAAGACUGCACUUUUCUGAGGCAGGAGGUUUGGGGCCCUCAUCCAGACAAACACGUAGCUGCGCUGAGGACUGCCGCCAGCAUCCAUGGGAUUUGUGAAAGUUAGAGAAAGGCUCCCUCUCUGGGUAGCCACAGCCCUGCGGGAGCACAUUUGUGUCGAUGACAAAAGGUGCCCCUUCUUCCUGGCAGGUAACCCAGGCUGGGUGCACGGGAGCCCACGCUGACCUCAGUCCCA
rnacentral:lncRNA from 10 species